UUGCACACCGUACACGCAGGAUUUUACUGCUUGAAUACAGGCGACACUUAUUUCCUGGGUUUUUAAGAAAACCACAAAUUUUUUGUCUUUAUUGGAUAAUGUGACAGACAUACCCUGACUAGAUUUCUUGAAGCAGAAGACAUCAGUCUGCAUCCAACAUGGCUGGCACAAAUCUUACCGGAGUUGUGCACAUCGUGUGCGGCAUUCUUGCCAUUAUGUUCUACGCUAUCAUCAUUGGGAUCAAAGUGCCCUUUUUCUACUUGGGGGCCGGCAUCUGGGGAGGAUUCUUCUUCAUCGUGGCGGGGGGAAUAGGAAUCACCGCGGCAAGAACUGACCAAAAGGGCAUGUACAUGAUGUCCUUUGUAUUUGGCAUCAUAGCCUUCCUGUGCGCCCUUGCCUGCACGUGCAUUGCUGCAUUCGUCUUCUACUAUUUGCUGAAUAUCCAUCCAGACCGCUUCGAUUACAUGCCAAUGUUCCAGCUGUACUUGGCGUUCAACAGCCUGUUUUUUAUCGUCUCCAUUUUCGAUUUGGCGGUGUCGGUUUUGCACUUGAAGGCGUCCUUGUCGGGGAUUUCGGACUCGUCGUCGUAUGGACAAAAUAAAAAUGUCAGACCACCAGCCUAUAAUCCGGAAACAGGAUAUCGCCCCCCACCCCGGGGAAAAUAUUGAUCAUCAAACAUUUAGCCUGUGCAUGAGCAGUGAAUACAUUUAGUUUGUAACUUUGAAAUUAUUUUGAAAGUAUUGUAUAUACUCAAUUAAGUGCAUGAACAUAAUACUUAAGAUGAGGUGAUUACCAAUUUACGUAAGAUAGUGUCGCCUGAUGUUCCCGUACUUGAACCGGAAAUGAAGUACAGAACUCCUGGUGGCGAGAUUGAUGAUGUGUUGUAUGUUGUGGAUUCAGUGCUUGGUUUUGAUAUAUCUAGAAACGUCAUCUAGAAGUAAAAUGGAGGGGGACGCUUUUCCCUGCCAUUGUUUUAUUACUUGCGAAGUGUGGAUAGAACACAAGGGAAGGACCAUGAAGCCUUUCCUUGGACUGGCUUCACCCCAUUUUACCUCAUUUCCGAAUGCAUAAUCUUUGUCAGGGCAACUACUUGUAAUUAUCAGGGUGUGAUAGAAAUAUCGCACAGCCUGCACAGAACCACCUGUGACCAUUACUGGGACUUGCUUCCAGAACUGGUUGCAAUGUAACUCUUUCGGAAAACAUAAAGAAAAAUAUAAGGGGUUUAUAUUAAAUCAUUUAAAAAAUAUUUUUUCAUUCCCCUUAACUUCAUACAUUCCAUUUUAUAUUUAAAUCGUCCUCUCCCGUUUUGCUGAAAACCGGUGUGACGUUUUUGGUUGUGCGCCAUUUUUCUGUGUUCUUAAACAACAGAGUGUCGGAAUAAGUUGUGACUUGACUCUAGGGAGGUUGAGAUCAAGGACCUAUCACGGAUCCUUAUACGUUUACGGAUAAAAAUGUCCAAAAAAUCGUCCUCUCUGUCCAGGGGUAUACAUAUGAGGAUCCUUGACAAGUCGCUGCUUUCAACCUCCCUGUAGGGUAUUACACCGAGAAAGGUGAACGCUGUUUUCUAGCGUUCCCAAAAGAACCGGAAGCACUAAGAAAUAGGUACACUCAAAAAGUAGUUCACUUGAGCCAGUUUGCGAUAUGUAUGUAGCUUAGCAGCUGACGCGUCCACUCAUAUCAAAACGUCCACUUUUACAAACUAUGUAAUAUGUAUACAACAAUGCAUUAUCGAAAAUUAGUAGUAUAGACAUUGAUUUUUGGUAAUGUCACAAACCUAAAUGCUAUUUACAUGUAGGUUUGUGGUACAGUGUUCGUGUGUAUAAACCAUCCAUCCAAUCCGUUGCGUGGCAAGUUUCAUCAUCAAAGAUGGCAAUUUACAUGUAUAGGCCUGGGCCUCCUUUGGGUCAUCCUGGCACCACCGGUUUUCGGUGUACUCCACCUCUCACGAGGUAGGAGAAUCUCAGGAUGCCUUUCAUGGGUCGCACUGCAACGUAGCAUCAGAGAUUUCACGAGCUUUAUGCACUUUCCAGUGUAACUUUAGGGGGAAUUGACUCUUUGGAUUUUUGUUUGACAUUUUUACUCUUUUUUAAAUCUGUUAAAGCGAUAAUUGAACGAGAUGUUCAUUUGUAUGAUCCCUCCUUGCAAAUAUACUAAAGAUGGAUAUACAUGUACGUUAGGCCCUUUCCGGAGUGGCUCUAAGAAGUUGUCAAUAAUAGAUCUUGUUUAGAAUCACGCGAGCAUCGAUAUUAAAAUUCAACUUUAAUUAUCAGUAUUUCAUUGCCUUCGCACCCCUGUUUAUAUUGUAUCAAAAGCAUAAAAUCAAUGCUCUAUUAGAAAAAACUGAAUUUUUGAUUAGCAGUUUUGAUAGAAACGUAUGGCUGUAAAUUCAGGCUUUAUAGUGAUGGAUCCUUCAUUUUCAUCUUGACCAUUCCGUAUCUGUCGUAACAUCAUAUCAAAAGAAGAAACGGGUUGUAUACAUGUACAUGUAUAUAAGCAUGUUUGUAGUUUUAUAUCGCAUGUAGUCUUAGACACUAUACAUUCAAAAUACAUGUAGUGGGUCACUUUGUUAAAAAAAAAGAUACAUGUAGCCUAGAAUUUGCGAAUAAAAUUUCGCCAGUGCAUCAAAAUGAAACACGAGCAAUUACGAGCAUGGGUAAUUUCGUUGUUACCGUUUCUGCAUUCCAGUCUCGAGAAAGACUUCAGCCUGUGACACGAAACAGGGUUAUUUUUGUGCUAAAUCAAGACGUGACUGGAGCAGUGGAUAGGCUCUUUCGUUAUUCUUGCAUGGUACCAACCAAAUUUUCCAAGCAUAGAGUUUGUCCACAUUUGUUGAGUUCAUUUUUCAUUUUGUUGCCGGCGCAGGGUAAGACUUUCAAUCCUCCGAUGUUGUUUUAACACCUUGUACAUGCGCACAUGAAAAUGGCAGGUCUAAAAUCAAAAACCGAACAUAUCUGCAGUAUCUUUGUUGACCGACAAUAUAAAAUUACAAAAUGUAGUUGAUAGUUUAUACAUGCUAUAUGUCAGGCUACAAAAUGGGUUAUUAGAUCUAUUUCAAUGCUGUGUUUGUUCUGUCGAGGGUUAUCAAAAAACUUGUACAGGCAUAUACCUGAUAUGAUAUAUGAUGAUGACUGACAACCGACCUUGCAAGUUUCAUUUUUAAUGAUUCGUAACAAAAUAUAUAGUAUUUUACACACCAUGUACAUAGUGCUGUUGGUCAAAACGAAGAAGAA